rnacentral:SRP_RNA from 11 species
GUUGUUGUUGUUGCUGCCCCGGGCCUUUAGUAUCUAUGGAGGCCGCCCUGCAAAGCGACACGACGCAGGAGCCAGCAGCGAGCGACGUGCUGGCAACAGAGGGCAAGGACGUGGAAGUAGUGCAGGAAAACGCGGAGGA